rnacentral:lncRNA from 1 species
AGAUGAUGAAACAGAACCGUACGAAGAAGUCCAAAUCUCGCCACCUUCUGUUUACGCCGAGCUUGACAGAAACCGACAAGACGAAGCAAUAAAUGAUGGUGCCUACCAGAAAUUGUUAAAACGCGACUCAGAUUAUGUAAUACCUGCUCAUACUGAAGCAGAGUCAUCAUACGAAGAAGUUGGAAAGAUAAGAACACCCCCUGGCUACACAGAGCUGGACAACACGAAACGAGUACAGGAUGAUAGCGCUGAUUACCAAAAAUUGAUAAAGAAAUGACAGAGUGUGUUUGGA